rnacentral:rRNA from 1 species
AAACCGCUCGGAGGCAAACGGGUGGGCCCUCGAAAGGUCGAACGGGGGGAUUCAGCCCCGUCGGUGUCAACUCCCGUGAUCUGCGGUUCGUUCCUCGUCAAAAGGAUCCGAGGGCACCUGACCGCAGAUUUCUUUCGGAGGCCGGCAGGUGCCACUUCCCCCUCAGUAGGACGCCGCGACCGGUCGGGAGAUUCAAUCGGCGGCCAUACGGCGAGGCAAGGCAGGUAUCCGUUGCCGGUAGGUCCACCUCCAGUUCGCUGGGGGACUCGGGCUCCGGUCGGAGUUACAGCUAGCCACGUCCCGGCUCCGCCGCCCGACCGAGGAAAAGACUGUACAACGUGCUCGCUCUGCGAAGCCGGCCUGUAACAGGGCCGGCCGAAUGCGCGGUUUGCCUUUCCGGCAGGCUGGGUUCUCGGUUGCCGAACGCCCCUGGCUGGCGGUCGGCGGCAUCUUUGAGGCCCGCCGUUGGCACGGAUUGACACGGCUUCCGCUGCGGCACUUGGGGUCUGCGGCGAGUAGGUCGGUCGCCCACCCGACCCGUCUUGAAACACGGACCAAGGAGUCUAACAUGUGCGCGAGUCAAUGGGAUUGCUUUGGCUAAACCCACGGGCGCAAUGAAAGUGAAAGUUUGACAAAAAGUAGCGGGAUCCGUCGGGAACCCCGUCCUCUCGGGGGCGGGGCCCCGCGGCGCACCGCCGGCCCGUCUCGACCGCAUCGCCGGUGAGGCGGAGCAAGAGCGUACACGUUGGGACCCGAAAGAUGGUGAACUAUGCCUGGGCAGGACGAAGCCAGAGGAAACUCUGGUGGAGGUCCGUAGCGAUUCUGACGUGCAAAUCGAUCGUCGGACCUGGGUAUAGGGGCAAAAGACUAAUCAAACCGUC